UAUUAAGCGGAGGAAAAGAAACUAACAAGGAUUUCCUUAGUAGCGGCGAGCGAACAGGGAAUAGCCCAGCACUGAAUCCCACGGUUUAUGCCGUUGAGAAAUGUAGUGUUUGGGAGGAUCCAUUUAUCCCGUGACGUUGUACCGCGUCCAAGUCCAUCUUGAAUGGGGCCACUUACCCAUAGAGGGUGCCAGGCCCGUAGUGACCGGAACGCGUCUCGGGAGGAUCUCUCCUUA
rnacentral:rRNA from 1 species